AUGGAGAUGUCCGACUACAUGUUAUACCUGCUUUUCAUCCGCACCGAGAUGUUGACGCCCGGCACCAGACCGGGUCUCUUCACCGUCGCCAUAUAUGAUCUAGAGGAAAUCUUGAAGAACAGCAAGGCAAAGCUCCAGGAUGAAGAAGCACUUGCUCAAGAGAUUAUUCAACAGACGGCUGGGAGUACUCUGAUUCACAAAGCUUGCAGGCUCGCUAUGUCAUUGAUGGACCUGCAGGAAGAGGAGAUGUGGGAGAUAAUCCAGGGCGUGUGGGUGGAGAUGCUCUGCUACUCUGCGAGUAGAUGCAGAGGAUUCCUGCACGCCAAGAGCCUGGGUGAAGGCGGGGAAUACCUCUCCUAUGUGUGGCUCCUCUGGUCAUACAUGGGGAUGGAGACAUUGGCGGACAGGAUUCACAAGCCCGACUAA
rnacentral:rRNA from 1 species